rnacentral:rRNA from 1 species
AUGGCUGCCAUGCACGAGAGCACUCCGGCGCUCCUUGUGCUCUUCCUGUCGCUGAUGCUCCUUUCCACGCCCUCUUCCGCGCGCCACAUGACUGGUGAUCCAGCACCGGUUAUCCUGCCCCCGCCGGACAUGCCCGGCGACCCAUUACCGGUUAUUCCAUCCCCGCCGCCCCACAUGGCUCCUCCAACAAAGGAGGGAGGGUGGGAAGGCAUUAUGAUGGCACCGAGGCCCGUUCCUUCUGGACCAGACCCUAUACACCAUCGUCCUCCCACCCCGGCUCCCCACAAGCCCCCUCCAUCAACGGAGGAGGCGAGGGAAGGUGUGAUGGUGGCACCGAGGCCGGUUCCUUCUGGUCCGAACCCUAUACAUCACUUUCCCGCCCCGGCGCCACAACCCCACCAUCAUUACCGAUGUCAUGCCCCACCGCCUGCAUCAACAGAGGAGGCGAGGGAAGGCGAUGUCAUGGCGCCGAGGCCGGUUCCUUCUGGAUCGAACUUCAUACAUAAUCAACCCACUCUAGCGCUGCAACCCAACCAUCAUCGCCGAUGCAAGGCCCCACCGCCGGCAUCGAUGGAGGAGGCCAGGGAAGGCGACAACAUGUCACCAUGGAGGCCACUUCCUGUUUCCGGACCGAACCCAAACCACAACCACCACGCAAAGGCACCGGCUCCUCCUCAUGAGUAA